rnacentral:misc_RNA from 1 species
GAUGAAGAACGCAGCGAAAUGCGAUAAGUAAUGUGAAUUGUAGAAUUCAGUGAAUCAUCGAAUCUUUGAACGCACAUUGCGCCCGCCAGUAUUCUGGCGGGCAUGCCUGUUCGAGCGUCAUUACAACCCUCAGGCCCCCGGGCCUGGCGUUGGGGAUCGGCGGAGCCCCCCGUGGGCACACGCCGUCCCCCAAAUGCAGUGGCGGUCCCGCCGCAGCUUCCAUCGCGUAGUAGCUAACACCUCGCGACUGGAGAGCGGCGCGGCCACGCCGUAAAACACCCAACUCUUCUGAAGUUGACCUCGAAUCAGGUAGGAAUACCCGCUGAACUUAAGCAUAUCAAUAAGCGGAGGA